rnacentral:siRNA from 1 species
GAGGACCGGUAUAGAACUGUGAC